AUUGAACGCUGGCGGAAUGCUUUACACAUGCAAGUCGAACGGCAGCACGGACUUCGGUCUGGUGGCGAGUGGCGAACGGGUGAGUAAUAUAUCGGAACGUGCCCAGUCGUGGGGGAUAACGUAGUGAAAAUUACGCUAAUACCGCAUACGAUCUACGGAUGAAAGCGGGGGAUCGCAAGACCUCGCGCGAUUGGAGCGGCCGAUAUCAGAUUAGGUAGUUGGUGAGGUAAAGGCUCACCAAGCCGACGAUCUGUAGCUGGUCUGAGAGGACGACCAGCCAAACUGGGGCUGAGACACGGCCCAGACUCCUACGGGAGGCAGCAGUGGGGAAUUUUGGACAAUGGACGCAAGUCUGAUCCAGCCAUUCCGCGUGCAGGACGAAGGCCUUCGGGUUGUAAACUGCUUUUGUGCAGAACGAAAAGGUCUCUAUUAAUACUGGGGGCUCAUGACGGUACUGUAAGAAUAAGCACCGGCUAACUACGUGCCAGCAGCCGCGGUAACAC
rnacentral:rRNA from 1 species